CCCUUAGAUGUUCUGGGCAGCACGCGCGCUACAAUGGUCUUCGCAAACGGAUGCAUUCUCGAAGGAGAAUGCCAAUCUUGGAAUCUAUGCCUUGGUCGGGACAGUUGCUUGCAAUUUUUCGACUCGAACCAGGAAUUCCUUGUAAUCGUGAUUCAUCACAUCACGAUGAAUACGUCCCUGCCCUUUGUACACACCGCCCGUCGCUCCUACGAUCGAAGAGUUAGGUGAAUUGUUUUGAUCGAUAAGAUUUGACUAUGGUCAACUCUCGUUGUGAAAUUCUGUGAAUCUGACUGUUUAGAGGAAGGAAAAGUCGUAACA
rnacentral:rRNA from 1 species